UACAUGGGGUGCAAACGUUGCUCGGAAUUAUUGGGCGUAAAGCGCACGUAGGCGGUUCGUUAAGUCGGAUGUGAAAGCCCUCGGCUCAACUGAGGAAGUGCACCCGAAACUGGCGAGCUUGAGUACGAAAGAGGAUCGCGGAAUUCCCGGUGUAGCGGUGAAAUGCGCAGAUAUCGGGAGGAACACCGGUGGCGAAGGCGGUUCUCUGGGCCUUACCUGACGCUGAGGAGCGAAAGCGUGGGGAGCGAACAGG
rnacentral:rRNA from 1 species